rnacentral:rRNA from 1 species
AUUGAACGCUGGCGGCAGGCCUAACACAUGCGAGUCGAACGGUAACAGGAAGAAGCUUGCUUCUUUGCUGACGAGUGGCGGACGGGUGAGUAAUGUCUGGGAAACUGCCUGAUGGAGGGGGAUAACUACUGGAAACGGUAGCUAAUACCGCAUAACGUCGCAAGACCAAAAAGGGGGACCUUCGGGCCUCUUGCCAUCGGAUGUGCCCAGAUGGGAUUAGCUAGUAGGUGGGGUAACGGCUCACCUAGGCGACGAUCCCUAGCUGGUCUGAGAGGAUGACCAGCCACACUGGAACUGAGACACGGUCCAGACUCCUACGGGAGGCAGCAGUGGGGAAUAUUGCACAAUGGGCGCAAGCCUGAUGCAGCCAUGCCGCGUGUAUGAAGAAGGCCUUCGGGUUGUAAAGUACUUUCAGCGGGGAGGAAGGGAGUAAAGUUAAUACCUUUGCUCAUUGACGUUACCCGCAGAAGAAGCACCGGCUAACUCCGUG